CAGCCGCCGCGGUAAUACGUAGGGUGCGAGCGUUAAUCGGAAUUACUGGGCGUAAAGCGUGCGCAGGCGGUUGUGUAAGACAGGUGUGAAAUCCCCGGGCUUAACCUGGGAACUGCGCUUGUGACUGCACAGCUAGAGUAUGGCAGAGGGGGGUGGAAUUCCACGUGUAGCAGUGAAAUGCGUAGAGAUGUGGAGGAACGCCGAUGGCGAAGGCAGCCCCCUGGGCCAAUACUGACGCUCAUGCACGAAAGCGUGGGGAGCAGACAGGAUUAGAUACCCGUGUAGUCCCUGUCUCUUAUAC
rnacentral:rRNA from 1 species